rnacentral:rRNA from 1 species
AUGGCGCGUGGUGUAGUCAAGGUGAAAUUCCAUGGAGCAGUAAAGGAUGGAAACACAUGGGAGCUUCGCUUCCAUGGAUUUUGUAGCAUGCAGAGCUUGCCCACUCUCACAAAGACUGGUCCAUGGGGUGGACAUGGUGGUUCAGUUACGGAAUCAGAACAACCAUGGCGCAUAGAGAGUAUGGCAAUCAUCCAUGAGGGGAUAAUUGCUAUGUUUUCAUGCAGUUACGUUGACCUAUCUGGCAAGAGGCGUACCACAGGUUCUUGGGGUGGUGGUAAUGGUAUCCGCACAAAGGUUGAGCUGGGGCCUCGGGAGAUUUUAAAAGCAGUGUCUGGAACAUAUGUCAGCCUUAACAAUGGGCAGACUGUUAUUGAGUCACUUAAGUUUGUCACCAACGAAGGAAUGUACGGACCAUAUGGCCGUACAACUGGUACACCUUUCAACGCUGACGUGCCGAAAGACCAAAGCAUCGUCGGGUUCUUUGGGCGUGCCAACGAUAGGCAACUCAUCGCGUUUGGUGUUUACACGGACCUCCAUGUUGGAGUUUUAAUUCGCCCCCUGUAUCUGGGUGCGUGCUUUGUCGUCACUUAUUAUGUCGAGUAA